CCUCAUUUUUCAUCAUAUACUUUUUAUCAACGCAUACUAUAUUACCAAGUGAUACAUACCAAAUAAAUUAAUCGUCAAGUCAAUACACACUUCUAAAAAAAUAGAUAUACAGUUUUCAAAAUUUGAAGUUUAUCAAUAUACAGUACAUGGUCAAAUGAUACAUACUUACCAAAUUAGUUAUCUAGCAACCUAAUAUAUAUCUUUAAGU
rnacentral:lncRNA from 1 species